AUUGAACGCUGGCGGCAUGCCUUACACAUGCAAGUCGAACGGCAGCACGGGGGCAACCCUGGUGGCGAGUGGCGCACUGGUGAGUAAAGCAUCGGAACGUAACCGGAAGUGGGGGAUAACGUAGCGAAAGAUACGCUACUACCGCAUAACUCGUGAGCAGGAAAUCAGGGGAACGCAGGACCUUGCGCUUUACGAGCGGCCGAUGACGGAUUAGCUAGUUGGUGGGGUAAAGGCCGACCAAGGCGACGAUCCGUAGCGGGUCUGAGUGGAUGAUCCGCAACACUGGGAGUGAGACACGGCCCAGACUCCUACGGGAGGCGGCGGUGGGGAAUUUUGGACAAUGGGGGCAACCCUGAUCCAGCCAUGCCGCGUGAGUGAAGAAGGCCUUCGGGUUGUAAAGCUCUUUCGGCCGGGAAGAAAUCGCACGGGAUAAUACCCUGUGUGGAUGACGGUACCGGAAUGAGAAGCACCGGCUAACUACGUGCCAGCCGCCGCUGUAA
rnacentral:rRNA from 1 species